GCAGAGAGAUCUUGCUAAGAAAAGAAUUUGGGGAGCACUUCACUGUAGCAGCAGUAACCCGAAACUUGUUCUUGGUCAUACAGCUUCAGCAGAAGCACAAUAAAGGAGAGCAAUGGCUGAUGACGCUGCUGAUAUAGAUCAGCUUGAACCACAGCCCAGCCAAAUCCACAGUGACUCUCAGGUUACUGGGCUAGACUUUCUCUUGAUGCUACUGGAGAUUUUGGCUAUUUUGCUAUCAACCAUUUGUCAUUCGUUUGAUGGAUAUUUUGGCUGCUUCCAACUUCCAGAUACCGAAGCACCAGAGAAGUUAGCGCAGAUUGUGAUAAUGAUGCAUUAAUAAAAUACCCUGCCAGAGGUCGUGCAGACAAAACAGAAACGCCCACAACAAGCUGCAGCUGCUGAUUCUUCAGUGUUUCUUCUGCUGACAAGUUUCCAGCACACCAGGAUAUUUUGUGUCUAUACUUUUGUAUUAUAGCCUACAGACUUCCUCAGUAAGAUCUACAAAUGCUGACAGUAAUUUGUUUCUUAAUGUAUUAACAAAUGGCCUUGUAGUGUAGUUGUUUACACAUUGCCACUUUGAUUCUGAGAGAACCUUUGGGCUUACAUCUGGAAGGGGAUCUAGUAUAAAAAUCUGCCAAAUAAAACAUCUGGAAUGGG